CUGUCCUCCAGCUGCUGCCAGGUGCCUCUUCUGGGGUUCACAACCCCUGCCCCAGACUCUUCUGUGAAGACUCGGCCACUCGAUCGAGAGGAGUCCUUCUGGAACAAAGCCAGGCUUCUUUCUGAGGCUUGCCAUGGUUUUCCACUCUGUAGCAAGUGACAGGGUUUCCUCGUCGGUGGAGGCUAAUGAGUUCAUCUUUUCCAUCCAGACAGACAGUUCAGAGCGAGGCUGGGUAGCACAGAAGGGGUAAACUGAGGCAGGCCAUCAUGCCAAACAUGUCACCGGAAACCAAAGUAUUUUGACAGCACAGAAGAAUGGUCCAUCUGGAGGUUUGGGGUCCCGCUAAGCAGGCGAGCCAUCCUAAACAAAUGGAUUGACUGCUUCCGGCACCAUCACUUAACUUCUGCUCCCGGACUGACAUCCGGAGUUUAACUCCUGACAGCUGGGACACAGGCAAAAGGAAACCUUUUUAAUUUAUAGUAAGCAAAGACAAGUUUCUUCCCCUCCCCUUCCUGGCUCAUUUAAAGGGCCAGAGUCACUUGAAACAGUAACGUCUUACAAAGUUCUUGAUGCGAAACUUCUCAGGAGUGUUCCAAAGCUCUAGAAAAGGGUGUGUCUGUUCAAAUACCAUAAGACAGAAAUAUUCUUAAAAUUUCCUUCAGGUAUUAAAGCUUCAAGACCUUCUUUUAAAAAAGAAAAACAAUGAUAUAACCAGGUACAGUAAUGCACACCUAUGAGCCCAGCACUCGGGGAGUCAGAAGCAGGUGGAUCUCUGUGAGUUGAAGGCCAGCCUGAUCUACAAAGCAAGUCCAUUACAGCCAAGGCUACACAGAGAAACCUUGUCUAGAAAAACCAAACAACCAAACAAACAAAACACCUUAAACACACACACACACACACACACACACAUACACACAAAGCAAACAAUAAAAAAAAAUUGAUGUAAUCAUUGAGGAACACUUAAAUUAAAAAAAAAAGAUUUGCAAUAGAUACAGCGGGUCGGGAGGAAAAAAAUCUCUGCUUUAAACAAAACCUAUGUUUUCUCAGCAAGAAUGAGUUCAGGGGUGAAAAAUAAAGUUAAUUUCAAUUUUAUUAAUGAUAUCUGAAAUGAAAUGUUAUAAGUCUCCCUUCCAACCUUGUAGCUAGACACCUGGGAUAUUUAUUUCUCCUUUGGAGAGAACAUGAGUGGCUGUUACCUUUGAGCAACACACACAUUUAAUUGAUGAAGGCGAGGA